UAGCCCCUUCUUAUUAAUGGUAUCUGUUGCUUUUAUACAUGUCUUACUACUCGAAAGUCAUCUUUAUUCUCGCUUAUUUUUCAAAUUGUCAUGUUUCGUUUGUAAAUGUCUGCGUAAGAGGGAAGGUUUCCCGAGAGAGAGUAACGGUUAAUGUGAUUGGAUGUUAAUUAUUUGACUUGGCUACCUGUAUUUGACAUUGUGUUGUUAUUUCGCUGAACACUAGGUGGUUUAAUUUUACUUUUGGCAGUGAAACGAGGCUACUCAGGCGAGAAAAAAAACCUCACCCAAAUGUAUAGCCCCGUUGGAAAAUAUACAUUUACAUUUUAGUCAUUUAGCAGACGCUCUUAUCCAGAGCGACUUACAGUAGUGAAUGCAUACAUUUCAUUUCAUACAUACAUUUUUUUUUAUUUUUUUUUGUGCUGGCCCCCUGUGGGAAUCGAACCCACAACCCUGGCAUUGCAAACACCAUGCGUUGCAAACACCAUGCUCUACCAACUGAGCUACAGGGAAGGUAUUCUUUGAAAUGUAUUCUUUGAAAAUGUGAAGAAAAAAAGUUUUCAGUCUAGUCAGUUUACAUUGUCAGUCAGUAUGGCUGAAGUGUGGCUAUAGAUUAGACAAUGAGAUCAUCAUGAAAGGGAAGAUUUUGUGAAAUAUUUCUGGAGUUUUGGAGCCAUGAUGUGAUACGCCUCCAUGUCUAUCUACUUGAAGCAAGAAAAUCUAACUAAAAGGAACUAACAUUUCAAUCCCUUCUCUGUCGUUCUUUGAUUGAAGGGGCCACUGGGAACACAAGGUCCAAAGGGUUUCCCUGGUAUUACUGGUAAGAGAGGACCAGACGGGGACAAAGGGGACCCUGGACCGAAGGGAGAGAGAUGUGUUCAGGGUGCUUCGGGCAUCCAAGGGCCUCAGGGAGAGAGUGGUCCUAGUGGCUUCCCUGGAUUUACAGGGCUCAAAGGUCAACCUGGCACUAAAGGCAUUGGGGUAGGUCGUCUCUCUGCCUUAUCACUGUAUCUACAGUUAUAUAGACUGCUACUUUACCACUGGAAGACUGAUGGAUUUUGUGUCUCCUCGUUUAGGGGGAGAAUGGAGAAACUGGCCCUCAGGGAAAACUGGGCAGAGAUGGGCUGAAGGUCAGAGAAGACUUAAAAAUGAAUGCAUUAUAGUGAAAGUAACAUUUAGAGUGUCAUUCUUUCAUCAGUCUGUCUGUUAAGAUUGGUCAAAAUGAUGAUAAAACUGUGGAUUUCAUGUCCUAAAACGCAUGUCCAAAUGGCACCCGAUACCCUACAGUAUAUAGUGCACUACUUUGAGUCCUGUAGGAGGUGCCAUUUGGGAAACAGCUGUAGUCUCAUAAAAAAUCUCUGUUUCUUUGAAGGGGAAUAGGGGACCAGAUGGGCGCAACGGCCAGCCUGGACACAGAGGGACCAAGGUAGGACACUCUAACUAUUGAAUGUGUUUAUGAGGGUUGGAAAAUUCUGGUAACUUUCACAAAAUGUCCAUGUUAUCCA
rnacentral:lncRNA from 8 species